UGGGGAAUUUUGGACAAUGGGGGAAACCCUGAUCCAGCCAUCCCGCGUGUGCGAUGAAGGCCUUCGGGUUGUAAAGCACUUUUGGCAGGAAAGAAACGUCAUGGGUUAAUACCCCGUGAAACUGACGGUACCUGCAGAAUAAGCACCGGCUAACUACGUGCCAGCAGCCGCGGUAAUACGUAGGGUGCAAGCGUUAAUCGGAAUUACUGGGCGUAAAGCGUGCGCAGGCGGUUAGGAAAGAAAGAUGUGAAAUCCCAGAGCUCAACUUUGGAACUGCAUUUUUAACUACCGUGCUAGAGUGUGUCAGAGGGAGGUGUAAUUCCGCGUGUAGCAGUGAAAUGCGUAGAUAUGCGGAGGAACACCGCUGGCGAAGGCAGCCUCCUGGGAUAACACUGACGCUCAUGCACGAAAGCGUGGGGAGCAAACAGG
rnacentral:rRNA from 1 species